UCGGGAAUUUUGGGCAAUGGGCGAAAGCCUGACCCAGCAACGCCGCGUGAAGGAUGAAGUAUUUCGGUGUGUAAACUUCGAAAGAAUAGGAAGAAUAAAUGACGGUACUAUUUAUAAGGUCCGGCUAACUACGUGCCAGCAGCCGCGGUAAUACGUAGGGACCAAGCGUUGUUCGGAUUUACUGGGCGUAAAGGGCGCGUAGGCGGCUUGACAAGUCACUUGUGAAAUCUCUGGGCUUAACCCAGAACGGCCAAGUGAAACUGUCAUGCUAGAGUGCAGAAGGGGCAAUCGGAAUUCUUGGUGUAGCGGUGAAAUGCGUAGAUAUCAAGAGGAACACCUGAGGUGAAGACGGGUUGCUGGGCUGACACUGACGCUGAGGCGCGAAAGCCAGGGGAGCAAACGGGAUUAGAUACCCCAGUAGUCCCUGAGCGGGCUGGCAAGGCGCAU
rnacentral:rRNA from 1 species